rnacentral:rRNA from 1 species
AUUGAACGCUGGCGGCAUGCCUUACACAUGCAAGUCGAACGGUAACGCGGGGGCAACCCUGGCGACGAGUGGCGAACGGGUGAGUAAUACAUCGGAACGUACCCAGUAGUGGGGGAUAGCUCGGCGAAAGCCGGAUUAAUACCGCAUACGACCUAUGGGUGAAAGCGGGGGAUCGCAAGACCUCGCGCUAUUGGAGCGGCCGAUGUCGGAUUAGCUAGUUGGUGAGGUAAAGGCNCACCAAGGCUACGAUCCGUAGCUGGUCUGAGAGGACGACCAGCCACACUGGGACUGAGACACGGCCCAGACUCCUACGGGAGGCAGCAGUGGGGAAUUUUGGACAAUGGGCGCAAGCCUGAUCCAGCCAUGCCGCGUGUGUGAAGAAGGCC